rnacentral:rRNA from 1 species
UGGGGAAUUUUGGACAAUGGGCGAAAGCCUGAUCCAGCAAUGCCGCGUGCAGGAAGAAGGCCUUCGGGUUGUAAACUGCUUUUGUACGGAACGAAAAAGUCUUUUCUAAUAAAGAAGGCUUAUGACGGUACCGUAAGAAUAAGCACCGGCUAACUACGUGCCAGCAGCCGCGGUAAUACGUAGGGUGCGAGCGUUAAUCGGAAUUACUGGGCGUAAAGCGUGCGCAGGCGGUUCUAUAAGACAGAUGUGAAAUCCCCGGGCUCAACCUGGGAAUGGCAUUUGUGACUGUAGAGCUAGAGUACGGUAGAGGGGGAUGGAAUUCCGCGUGUAGCAGUGAAAUGCGUAGAUAUGCGGAGGAACACCGAUGGCGAAGGCAAUCCCCUGGACCUGUACUGACGCUCAUGCACGAAAGCGUGGGGAGCAAACAGGAUUAGAUACCCCCGUAGUCCCUGAGCGGGCUGGCAAGGCGCAU